rnacentral:rRNA from 1 species
UACAGAGGGUGCGAGCGUUAAUCGGAAUUACUGGGCGUAAAGCGUGCGUAGACGGUUAUCUAAGUCGGGUGUGAAAGCCCCGGGCUCAACCUGGGAAUUGCAUUCGAGACUGAAUAGCUAGGGUACGGUAGAGGGAAGCGGAAUUUCCGGUGUAGCGGUGAAAUGCGUAGAUAUCGGGAAGAACACCCGUGGCUAAGGCGGCUCUCUAGUACGGUACUGACGCUGAGACGCGAAAGCGUGGGGAGCGAACAGG